UCAAUUCAAUUUCUUAAUCUGUUUGGUUCUUAGUUAUUUUUUGUAUUCAAUUAAUGUCAAUUCUAACCUAAUUUUUUAUCAAUUUUUUCAUUCCCUUCUCAAUUUUAAUCACAACCAUUGAUCUCAUGUGAUCGAUGACUGAGAUUAAAUCUUAUUGUUCAUACAUAUAACACCCUACAUAUAACACCCUAAUACCUAAAACCCUAAAUCAUUUUCCUGUUUUUGCAAAAAUAAAACCCUAAAUCAUUUUCCUGUUUUUGCAAAAAUGAGCCGCACCUUUUCUCUCCCUUCUCUCUUCUCUCUCUAAGUUCAACCACAGGCGAACACCACGCUCCGGUGAGCCGCGUCGCCGGCAAGUCUGUCGCCCCUCCUUUCUUCCUUUCUCCGUUCCCUCCAUUGCACCACCAGCCGUCGCUGCACAACAGCCAUGUAGCCGGUGAGCAAACCAGUGUCGUCUGCGCUGUCGCCUCUCAUCAUCUCCUCUAUCCGCUACCAGCACCGGUAGCCAGCCCAAUGAUCAGCCGGCGAGCAAUGCAUUCAGUUUAGCCCAACGAUCCUUUUUGGGUGCUAUUGAGAAGGACCAUUAAAAGAUUGACACUCAAGCGGCGGAGGCGGAACCAGGAUUUCAACUGAGGGGGUUCAAUAUUCAAAGAAUAGUAUAUUUUUCUGUCGAACGAGGUUGGCCGAACCCCUUGAAGGAGGCUAGCUCCGCCUCUGUCAAGCGCAAAGCUUCACGAGUAGAACUUAAAUAAGCUUUAAAGUUUAAAUUGGUUGUCCAGAGAUAAUAUUAAAUGUGCACCUGUAUUUUAAUUUAGCAAUUCAGUCAAAAUAUCUUUCUAUUUGUUAUGGCUUCUUUUAUGAUCCAUAAUAAUUAUACACUGACUUGAACAGGACUAAAGAAAACACUGAAAUCACCAUUCUAUAUAUUAUUUUGUGCAACUUUUGAUUC